CACGAAGCCGGAAUCGCUAGUAAUCGCAGAUCAGCAUGCUGCGGUGAAUACGUUCCCGGGUCUUGUACACACCGCCCGUCACACCAUGGGAGCCGGGAAUGCCCGAAGUCAGCGGCCCAACCGAAAGGGGGGAGCUGCCGAGGGCAGGCCUGGUGACUGGGGUGAAGUCGUAACAAGGUACC
rnacentral:rRNA from 1 species